UAUGGCCAUAUCAUGUUGAAACAUGGGUUCCCAUUUGAUCACUGAAGUUAAGCAAUGUUGAGCCUGGUCAGUACCUAGCAGGGUGACUGCUUAGAAAUAUCAGGUGCUGUAAU